rnacentral:lncRNA from 1 species
GGACAAAGGGGGCAGCAGGGACAGCAGUGAGGACACUAACGCGAUCAGCCCGCCGGGAGAGAAGAGGUUGGACGCAGAGCCGAGAAGGCAUAUUCCCUUGUCUGGAUUACAUUGACUGGACAUGUUGGCUACAUGCGAAUUUUGCAAGUAUGAAGGAAGCUGCUGUAAACACUGGUGGAAGGUUUUUGGGUGGACACGAGUUUUCACUUAUUUGGGUAA